rnacentral:rRNA from 1 species
CGAGGGUGCAAGCGUUAUUCGGAAUUAUUGGGCGUAAAGGGCGCGUAGGCGGCCUGGUAAGUCAGAUGUGAAAGCCCGGGGCUUAACCCCGGAAGUGCAUUUGAUACUGUCAGGCUUGAGUAUGGGAGAGGGAAGUGGAAUUCCUGGUGUAGAGGUGAAAUUCGUAGAUAUCAGGAGGAACACCGGUGGCGAAGGCGACUUCCUGGACCAAUACUGACGCUGAGGCGCGAAGGCGUGGGGAGCAAACCGGAUUAGAUACCCGAGUAGUCC